UGGUCCUGUUAAACAAAUUGUGAAUGGAAGAGUCACCCUUGACAAAACAAAAUUGUCGACAUAUGGAGCAACAGCGACUUUAAAAUGUAAUCCUGGCUAUAGCCCUAAUCAAGUGAAAAUAAGUUGUUUAGAUACAGGAAAAUGGGAUGCAGCAAGAUGCAAAAUCAUAGACUGUGAAAUUCCUUCAAAUGUGGUCAAUGGUUCUUUGCUUUUUUCCACAACAACGUAUGGAUCAAACGCUUCUCUUGUUUGUGAUAGAGGAUAUAAUGGAAGCCACACAACCAUAAGUUGCCUUGACAAUGGUAGUUGGGAAAUAGCAACAUGUGAAAUUAAAGACUGUGGGUUUCCCUUAAAUGUGGCCAAUGGUAAUUUGCACUAUAUAGCAACAACGUUUGGAUCAACGGCUUCCCUUGUCUGUGAUAGAGGAUAUGAUGGAAACGGGACAAUAAGAUGCCUUGACACUGGAAGUUGGGAAACACCACCAACAUGUUCUA